rnacentral:pre_miRNA from 1 species
CUAUGCCUGGCUCCCUGUAUGCCACCUGCACCGUCCAUGAUCCUUCCAUUGACCAUGCACCUGGCGUGCGAGGAGCCAUGCAUAC